UUUAAUUUCAUAAUCUUUACAACCAAAAAGUAUUGUGGUGUAAUCCUACUUCAAUCCCACUAUAGUCAUGAUAGUGUUUACACAAGACAUUUCAUAUCUUAUAGUAUUCCCACUCACGUUGGAUUUGAUAGUGUUAAACUUUUAAACGUUAGUUAAAAAGUUUACAAGACCUAUGACACAGAAUUACUCCAAGGAAUAGACAUAAGCUACUAGACAUCAAAAAACGAGGGACCCAAAGUUUUCAAUUAUUGAUAUUAAAUCAAAUUUUAAGAAUACUAGGGAUACAAUAUCAAAUCUAGUCCAGCUUGUGAAGGACUUAUCGUUAGGACAUCUAUCAACGAAAGAAAAUAUAAUUUAGUCCAGCUUGUGAAGGACUUAUCGUUAGGACAUCUAUCAACGAAAGAAAAUAUAAUUUAGUCCAGCUUGUGAAGGACUUAUCGUAAGGACAUCUAUCAACAAAAGAAAAUAUAAUUUAGUCCAGCUUGUGAAGGACUUAUCGUUAGGACAUCUAUCAACAAAAGAAAAUAUAAUCUAGUCCAGCUUGUGAAGGACUUAUCGUAAGGACAUCUAUCAACGAAAGAAAAUAUAAUCUAGUCCAGCUUGUGAAGGACUUAUCGUAAGGACAUCUAUCAACGAAAGAAAAUAUAAUCUAGUCCAGCUUGUGAAGGACUUAUCGUAAGGACAUCUAUCAACGAAAGAAAAUAUAAUCUAGUCCAGCUUGUGAAGGACUUAUCGUUAGGACAUCUAUCAACGAAAGAAAAUAUAAUCUAGUCCAGCUUGUGAAGGACUUAUCGUAAGGACAUCUAUCAACGAAAGAAAAUAUAAUCUAGUCCAGCUUGUGAAGGACUUAUCGUAAGGACAUCUAUCAACGAAAGAAAAUAUAAUCUAGUCCAGCUUGUGAAGGACUUACCGUAAGGACAUCUAUCAACGAAAGAAAAUAUAAUCUAGUCCAGCUUGUGAAGGACUUAUCGUAAGGACAUCUAUCAACGAAAGAAAAUAUAAUCUAGUCCAGCUUGUGAAGGACUUAUCGUAAGGACAUCUAUCAACGAAAGAAAAUAUAAUCUAGUCCAGCUUGUGAAGGACUUAUCGUAAGGACAUCUAUCAACGAAAGAAAAUAUAAUCUAGUCCAGCUUGUGAAGGACUUACCGUAAGGACAUCUAUCAACGAAAGAAAAUAUAAUCUAGUCCAGCUUGUGAAGGACUUAUCGUAAGGACAUCUAUCAACGAAAGAAAAUAUAAUAUCAAGGUGUGCUAUAGAAAAUUGUAACCAAGACAACCAAACGACCUUACCCUUCAAAAUGGCUACAAUUGCGAUCGAUUACAACAUGGUGUAUACAGCUGCCUUCCAGAAAAUGAUUGUUGCCGAAGCAGAGAUGGGUAAUAUAGAGAGAACGGGAAGGAAAUACGGAGUCAAAGUAUCGUGGAUACAGGAAUGGCAACAGACAUGGAGCAAGAAAGAAAAGAAUAACAAUGAGUUUGUUUCCAUGGGAAUAAUCAAAACUUGAUAUGUGUUGGGAGCCAAUGUUUAUUUGAUUUUGUUGAUAUUUGAAUGGAAGUGUGUUCAAUUUUUCUAUACGUGGAAUAACAGCUGUAUUAAAUAUAUAGCUCCAUCCCGAAGGUGGACUAUGGGACAUGAAGCAUAACACAUGCUGCAUAAUCUUAUUGUGUUCAUGAUGCAUUCUGGGAUAUAAACCUUUCCAUGCUAUCAUGUGAUUCAUAAUGUUACCAUGUGAUUCAUAAUGUAACCAUCUGAUUCAUAAUGUUAUCGUGUGAUUCAUAAUGUUAUCGUGUGAUUCAUAAUGUUAUUGUGUGAUUCAUAAUAUUAUCAUGUGAUUCAUAAUGUUAUCAUGUGAUUCAUAAUGUUAUCAUGUUUUAAUGCUCAUAAAAAGUGUUUGUUCUAUGAACUGAUUUUGUGAAUAAUGACUUGGACAAUGAUUUUUGUGUCGGUGCUAAAAGUGAAAAACAGUUAAAAACAAUGUAAUAAAUAUGUAAAUUUCUCUUUAA